AGAGUUUGAUCCUGGCUCAGGAUUAACGCUAGCGGCAGGCCUAAUACAUGCAAGUCGAACGGCAGCGGGUGUAGCAAUACAUGCCGGCGAGUGGCGCACGGGUGCGUAACGCGUAUGCAAUCUACCUAUAACUGGGGAAUAGCCUUCCGAAAGGAAGAUUAAUACCGCAUGAUAUCACGAAACGGCAUCGUUUUGUGAUCAAAACUCCGGUGGUUAUAGAUGAGCAUGCGUGACAUUAGCUAGUUGGUGAGGUAACGGCUCACCAAGGCGACGAUGUCUAGGGGGUCUGAGAGGAUGAUCCCCCACACUGGUACUGAGACACGGACCAGACUCCUACGGGAGGCAGCAGUAAGGAAUAUUGGACAAUGGCCGCAAGGCUGAUCCAGCCAUGCCGCGUGAAGGAUGAAGGUGCUAUGCAUUGUAAACUUCUUUUGUCCCGGAAUAAACCCCUGAUUUCUAUCGGGGCUGAAUGUACGGGAAGAAUAAGGGACGGCUAACUUCGUGCCAGCAGCCGCGGUAAUACGAAGGUCCCAAGCGUUAUCCGGAUUUAUUGGGUUUAAAGGGUGCGUAGGCGGGUUGUUAAGUCAGUGGUGAAAGCCUACAGCUCAACUGUAGAAUUGCCAUUGAUACUGACGAUCUUGAGUAUGGUUGAGGUGGGCGGAAUGUGUCAUGUAGCGGUGAAAUGCUUAGAUAUGACACAGAACACCGAUUGCGAAGGCAGCUCACUAAGCCAUAACUGACGCUGAUGCACGAAAGCGUGGGGAGCAAACAGGAUUAGAUACCCUGGUAGUCCACGCC
rnacentral:rRNA from 1 species